GUUCACCUACGGGGGGCAGCAGUGAGGAAUAUUGGUCAAUGGUCGGGAGACUGAACCAGCCACGCCGCGUGAGGGAUGAAGGUACAGAGUAUCUUAAACCUCUUUUGUCAGGGAACAAAGGCGGGGACGUGUCCCCGGAUGAGUGUACCUGAAGAAAAAGCAUCGGCUAACUCCGUGCCAGCAGCCGCGGUAAUACGGAGGAUGCGAGCGUUAUCCGGAUUUAUUGGGUUUAAAGGGUGCGCAGGCGGUCUGUUAAGUCAGCGGUCAAAUCCCGGGGCUCAACCCCGGCCCGCCGUUGCAACCGG
rnacentral:rRNA from 1 species